UGGAAUGUAGCUCAGUGGUAGAGUACACUACAAAAGCGGUGAGGUCGCAGGUUCGAUUCCUGCCAUUCCAA
rnacentral:tRNA from 1 species